UCAGGCCUAACACAUGCAAGUCGAGCGGGGCUUUCGGACCUAGCGGCGGACGGGUGAGUAAUGCGUAGGAAGCUGCCCGAUAGAGGGGGAUACCAGUUGGAAACGACUGUUAAUACCGCAUAAUGUCUACGGACCAAAGUGUGGGACCUUCGGGCCACAUGCUAUCGGAUGCGCCUACGUGGGAUUAGCUAGUUGGUGAGGUAAUAGCUCACCAAGGCGACGAUCUCUAGCUGGUUUGAGAGGAUGAUCAGCCACACUGGGGGUGAGACACGGUCCAGACUCCUACGGGAGGCAGCAGUGGGGAAUAUUGGACAAUGGGCGCA
rnacentral:rRNA from 1 species